rnacentral:tRNA from 1 species
UAUGGAUGUGGCUCAAUGGUAGAGUAUUUGCCUAGCAUGCAUGGAGCCCUGGGUUCAAUCCCCAGUACCACAA